rnacentral:lncRNA from 1 species
AUUGCAUUUUAUAUUUUACAGACAUCUUUUCAACAGAAAGACGGCUUACAGGGUACAUCUUGAAGGCUGCUGAUGUAAGAGGCGGAACAUGGUGCAGGAAAGCAAAACUUGCUGUUGGAUCUCUUGGAGAGUGGGAGAAGACACCCAAAAAGAUGGCAAUAUGAUACAGGACUGAAAACAAAGACAUCCAAACCUUGAGCCAUUUAGAAGAAGCCAAAAUCUGUGCCAGAGGUUUGUCUGUUGGGUUUACUCAUGGCUUCAGGUACGCUUCUUUCCCUGGGUUGUUUAGCAUUUCAGAGGCCCUC